rnacentral:lncRNA from 1 species
AUAGUAGAAAAUCGAGUCGUGAAAAAUCAACAUGGAAAACAAGAAGAUUUACAUUCUAUAAUGUUAUGCUAUAAAUAUCUGAAACAGAGACAGAGGCAGAGGCAGAGGCAGAGGCAGAAACAGUCUAUUCGUUCUUUAUCUAUUUCGAAAAAAACGAGGACUUUAUUGUCUUCCAUAUUGAUUUUUCACAACCUAAUCUUAAAACGAUUUUCCCUAGCGAGUGUUUAUAUGAGCAUGAUCAACAGUUGUGAUCUAAGGAAAAAAAA